GAGUUUGAUCCUGGCUCAGGAUGAACGCUGGCGGCGUGCUUAACACAUGCAAGUCGAACGGUGAACACGGAGCUUGCUCUGUGGGAUCAGUGGCGAACGGGUGAGUAACACGUGAGCAACCUGCCCCUGACUCUGGGAUAAGCGCUGGAAACGGCGUCUAAUACUGGAUAUGUGACGUGACCGCAUGGUCUGCGUCUGGAAAGAAUUUCGGUUGGGGAUGGGCUCGCGGCCUAUCAGCUUGUUGGUGAGGUAAUGGCUCACCAAGGCGUCGACGGGUAGCCGGCCUGAGAGGGUGACCGGCCACACUGGGACUGAGACACGGCCCAGACUCCUACGGGAGGCAGCAGUGGGGAAUAUUGCACAAUGGGCGCAAGCCUGAUGCAGCAACGCCGCGUGAGGGACGACGGCCUUCGGGUUGUAAACCUCUUUUUAGCAGGGAAGAAGCGAAAGUGACGGUACCUGCAGAAAAAGCGCCGGCUAACUACGUG
rnacentral:rRNA from 1 species